rnacentral:rRNA from 1 species
ACCCGCUGAACUUAAGCAUAUCAAUAAGCGGAGGAAAAGAAACCAACAGGGAUUGCCUCAGUAGCGGCGAGUGAAGCGGCAAAAGCUCAGAUUUGAAAUCCGGUGCGGUUCCCGCGCCCGAGUUGUAAUCUGGAGAGGAUGCUCCGGCGAAGCCUGCCGCCAAAGUUCCUUGGAACAGGACGUCUUAGAGGGUGAGAACCCCGUACCCGGCGGUCCGGCUUAGCCAUGUGGUGCUCCUUCGACGAGUCGAGUUGUUUGGGAAUGCAGCUCAAACUGGGUGGUAAAUUCCAUCUAAAGCUAAAUAUCGGCGGGAGACCGAUAGCGCACAAGUAGAGUGAUCGAAAGAUGAAAAGCACUUUGAAAAGAGAGUUAAAAAGUACGUGAAAUUGUUGAAAGGGAAGCGCUUGCCAUCAGAAUCGGUGCCGGUCGAUCAGCGUUCCUUCUGGUUCGUGCACUCGGCCGGUAUCCGUGCCAGCAUCGGUGGCCGCGGCGGGACAAAGGUGCCGGGAAAGUGGCUCCCCUCGGGGAGUGUUAUAGCCCGGCGCGUAAUGCCGCCAGCCGGCCACCGAGGACCGCGCUUUUGGAAGAUUGUUGGCUUAAUGGUGUAGCGAACCCGUCUUGAAACACGG